rnacentral:rRNA from 1 species
UGGGGAAUCUUCCGCAAUGGACGAAAGUCUGACGGAGCAACGCCGCGUGAGUGAAGAAGGUUUUCGGAUCGUAAAACUCUGUCUUUUGGGGCGAACGUGAGUAUGGUGAACAAUCAUAGUCAGUGACGGUACCAAAGGAGGAAGCCACGGCUAACUACGUGCCAGCAGCCGCGGUAAUACGUAGGUGGCAAGCGUUGUCCGGAAUUAUUGGGCGUAAAGAGCGCGUAGGCGGGAUAGUCAGUCUGUUGUAAAAGUGCGGGGCUCAACCCCGUGAUCGCAAUGGAAACAGCUAUUCUUGAGUGCAGGAGAGGAAAGUGGAAUUCCCAGUGUAGCGGUGAAAUGCGUAGAUAUUGGGAGGAACACCAGUGGCGAAGGCGACUUUCUGGACUGUGUCUGACGCUGAGGCGCGAAAGCCAGGGGAGCGAACGGGAUUAGAUACCCCGGUAGUCCUGGCCGUAAACGAUGGGUACUAGGUGUGGGAGGUAUCGACCCCCUUUCCGUGCCGGAGUUAACGCAAUAAGUACCCCCGCCUGGGGAGUACGGUCGCAAGACUGAAACUUAAAUGAAUUGAC